GGGCUGGCGCGAGUGGCGCACAUUAAGGCAUCUGGCAAAAUCUAGCAGGACUUUCGCAGGUAGUUUUCCAUUAGCAGAGAGUGCUCCCAACAGCGAGAUUACCACAUUUAAAAGUGGUUUCACAUCCACAAUAUCUAAAGCGUCGACUGAAGUGCAUAACAUAAAUUGGGUUUCAAUAAUGCAGGCGUGCAGGAGUCAUCAGAUUACUGUCUGGGUUGUGUCUAAUUCUGGCCUGCCUGUAUUCUUCCUGCAGCUGAUGGGAAACCAGCUGGUGGUGUGUGGUGGUGUGGGCGUCCACCUGCAGGUUCCAGUGACAUCAAUGUUUGGAAGUUCUUGGCAGACGGGGAAAGGCUGUUUCCAGAAAUAAUGGAUUUUAAUCUUGUUUCUAAUUCCAGCCAGGCUGAUUUAUCUGGGCCGCUCGAGGGACGACCAGCCAAUGUGGAAAGAUCGGCAGCAGGAAGCAGCUUAACUGAGCCGUGAAUCUGCUUACGGUUCUGCUAAACGGUGACACAAACGAGACACAUGAAGCAGGCUGUGUCCAACACACACACAAAGCGGAAGAUGCAACUGCCUACACCAAGCAAGCUUGCCCAAUUGCCCACAACACCAAGUGCUGGAGGUGUGCUGCAUCCCUGGAGCACCAGUAAAUAACCAGUAAACAGGUUCUGCUCAUGAAGGACGUAGAGUUAAAAGAGUUGCACUCACAACAGUGUCUGUGAAGAAUUAUAACAAGGACCAGAAGAUGCCGGGUCAAGGAAGACACAAAGUGCUGGAGUAACUCAAUGGGUCAGGAAGCCUCUCUGGAGAACAUGGAUAGGUGAUAUUUGGGGUCAGGACCCUUCUUCAGACUGAUUGUGAUAAUAAGGGGGAAAAUCUGGGAGAGUGUUUGGGGCUCAGUCUGAAGAAGGGUCUCGAUCCGAAACGUCACC